rnacentral:tRNA from 1 species
GCGCGCGUGGCGAAAUCGGUAGACGCAGCACGCUCAGGACGUGCCGGCCUGUCCAUGGGGGUUCAAGUCCCUCCGCGCGCACCA